ensembl:lncRNA
AUGCGUCAUGGAUGUAAAAUUGUUUUUGAGAAUGGACUAUGUAAAGUGCUGAAAGAUGGAAAACUUGUUUUAAAGGCUGAGGAAUAUCAUGGGAUAUUCAAAGUUAUGUUUGAGCCAAAGUUUUCAGGAUUAGCCUUACCAGAAUGUGAGAAACGAAAUUGUGCUCGUUUAUGGCAUGAAAGAUUUGGUCAUGCAAAUGAGAAAUAUGUCUGGAACGCAAAAGAAGUAUGUAGAGAUAUGGAAGUAAAUUCAUGUUGUAAGGAGAUAUGUGAAACUUGUAUAAAGGCCAAGGCAUGUGCUCCAAAUGUUCCAAAAGACAAAGAGUUUGAAGCGCAACGCCCUCUGCAGGUCAUAUCCAGUGAUGUAUGUGGCCCCAUGUCUACAUCAUUGGGGGGGUCUUUGUACUUUGUGGUUUUCAAAGAUUCAUUUUCUGGAUAUACCAAAGUCUAUUUCAUGAAGCACAAAAAUGAAUUAUUUAACAAAUUAAAGGAAUAUUUGGCCAUGGUUGAGAAUCAAUUUCAAAGGAUGCCAGAAACUCUGAGGACAGACAAUGGAGGAGAAUUUUGCAAUAAAGCAGUGGAUGAUCUAUUGAGGAAAUAUGGGAUUAGACGCCAAUAUUCUCUUCCCUAUUUUCCACAUCAGAAUGGCAUUGCAGAAAGAAAGAAUAGAAGUUUGAUUAUAAUGGCAAAAUCCAUGAUUUAUCAUGCAGGAAUUCAGCGUAAAUUCUGGGCUGAGGCCAUUAAUACUGCUUGUUAUUUGCAAAAUAGAAUGCCCAAUGCAAAAAGUCAUGUAACCCCAUAUGAAUUGUGGUUUGGUCAUUCUCCAAGUGUAAAGCAUUUGCGUGUGUUUGGAUCCAAAGCCUAUGUGUACAUCCCAAGAGAAAAGCGAAGUGGGAAGUUUGAUUGCAGCUCUAAGGAAUGCCUACUGGUUGGUUAUUCUGAUGAACAUAAAUCUUACCGACUUUAUGAUCCAGAAAAGAAUAUAAUUUUUGUAGGAAAGACGGUUUACAUAGAUGAAAGAGUUGGAAGAAAUUUACAGCCUCCUGUUGAUGAGCCUUUGUUAAGAAAUGACUCGGAUGACUUAACAUGCGGUCUGCAGAGUGGAAAUGAGCCAAUUGCGCCAUCUGCUGGAAAAGUCCUGCCAUCGCUGGUCAGAAGGGCUGAUCAAAGAAAUGAGCCAACGCCACCCAGUGGAGAGACCCUGACAUCUGAGGUCGAAGGACCCGAUGAAAGGAUUGACCCACAUAGUGGCAUGGCAGAGGAACAUCAAUGGCACCCUCAAGGACCAGAUGAAAGUGCAGAGACACCUGAUGGACAAAAUGAGCAAUUACCACGCAGAUCUCAAAGGACAAAUCGUGGGGUCCCUCCCCAGAGAUUCGCUUAUCUUACCAAUGAAGCUGAACUACAGGAACCAUCAUCCUGGAAUCAGAUGCUGAAGUUUCCAGAGGAUGAAAAAGAAAAAUGGCUUACUGCUGCAUCAGAUGAAAUAGAGUCAUUACAUAAAAACAAGACAUGGACACUUGUACCACCACCAGAAAAUAGGAAUGUAGUUGGCUGUAAAUGGAUUUUCAAACUGAAACGUGAUGAAAAUGGACAGAUACAGCGAUACAAAGCCAGACUUGUAGCUAAGGGCUACUCACAACAAUAUGGAGAGGAUUAUGAUGAAGUUUUUGCACCUGUUGUAAAACACACCACCUUGAGGACAUUGCUUGCAAUUGCAGCCUCUAGAAAAAUGAAUGUUGAACACCUUGACGUUGCUACAGCUUUUCUUCAUGGCGAAUUAGAAGAAGAGAUAUUUAUGCAACAACCACCUGGAUUUGAAGACAAGGCACACAAAGGAUAUGUAUGCAAAUUGCAACGAUCUCUCUAUGGUUUAAAACAAGCAGCAAAAUGCUGGAAUCAGAAAUUAAAUCAAAUGUUAAUUGAGAAGGGGUUUGCACAAGGGAAAGCUGAUCCUUGCCUUUAUUCUAGAUUCAAAAACAACAGAUGGACAUAUGUUCUAGCCUAUGUAGAUGACAUAGUGUGUUGCUUUCAACAGAAAUCUGACUUUGAUGAUCUUGUACAACAUUUGAGCCGUACCGUUGAAAUCACACAACUUGGCAAUUUGAGUCAUUAUUUGGGAAUACAGGUUGAAAGAGAAGAAGAUGGGAGCUUUCUCCUGAAUCAGAGACAAAAGAUUAUUGACUUGCUAAAACAUCUUGGACUCUUAGAAGCAAAUACAGUGACUACACCCAUGGAAGUGAACUAUUGGAAAAACACUUCAGAAAGUGAACCAUUGAGUGACAACACCUUGUAUCGAGAGGCAAUUGGGAAAAUGUUGUACAUCUCUCGAAUCACAAGACCAGAUAUUUCAGCAGCGGUUGGGAUACUAUGCAGGAAGACUAGUAAACCAACCAAAUAUGACUUAAUUGCAAUCAAAAGAGUUGCUAGAUACCUAAAAGGCACACUGAACUUCAAGUUGAGACUACAAGCCACCAGCAACCCUACACUGACAGGGUAUGUGGAUGCUGACUGGGCCAAUGAUAUUACAGAUCGCAAGUCUACCAGCGGCUAUCUAUUCUUCUACGGAGAUGCACUGAUAGACUGGACAACACAGAAACAAAAAGUAGUAGCUUCAUCUUCAACAGAAGCAGAAUAUGUUUCCGCAUCAGAAGCAUGCAAACAAUUGAAAUGGCUACAUAUGAUGUUAUUUGAUUUUGGAAUCGAAGAACCAACACCAAUACAAGUUUUUGAGGACAAUCAAGGUUGUCUGAAGUAUACUCAAACAGAGAAGAUCAGUACAUUGCUCAAGCACAUUGACACAAGAUACCACGUCGUGAAGAAUGCACACGAAGAAGGAUUUAUGAGGUUGGAGUUUUGCAGAUCUGAAGACAUGAUUGCCGACAUUCUGACAAAACCCCUGCCUAGACAUGCUCAUGAUAAGUUGAAGAAGAUGUUGAACCUGAUGGACAUGAGCAGCCCAGGCUGA